rnacentral:lncRNA from 1 species
AAUUUAUACAAAGACAGUGUAGACAGAGAAGGUUAGUGCUGAAACUCAGUGCUUAUGUUUGGCUUUCUUUAAGGAACUGUUCGAGACAGAUUAGUUUAAAAGAGGAUGGACAAUUUUAUGGGCCGCAUUGAAGAAGUUUGAGGGGGCAGAGAAAUGGAAAUAUUACGUUAAAGAUCAUAGCAUUCAAUAAAUAAAGAACUUGGGACAGAGAGACCUCUGUAUUUUCCUGAUGGCAUCGUCCCCAUGAUGAAAUCCAGAUCAGGAAUAAAUGUUAUUUCAAAUCACACAAAGAGAUUCAUGGCAAGGAAAAUACUUAUGGUCAAGAUUGUUUUUCACCUGAAAAAAGAAGAGCACUUAAGAAAACACAAAGUACAGUAAUGGAAGUACUUUAUCACUUAAGAACAUAGAGCAAGGAGAGUUAUCCAUGUUACUUGUGUUGGAUAAUAAGAGAGAGCGUAUCAUUCUCUUUGGCUACUAUAUGGGUUCUUCUUAAUUCCACCCUGCGUCAACAUUUUCUUCCAUGAUUUCAACUACUAAUAGGGGAGAAAAAAAAGAAUAGAGGGGAAAGGAAAUUGUUCCCUGAAUAGCUUCAAGGGUCAGAAAGUGUUCAAUAUUACAGGUACUUCCUGCUAAUUGGGUAAAUUGAGUUCCUUGGGG